rnacentral:rRNA from 1 species
GCAGGCUAUAAUGCAAGUCGAGCGGACAGAUGGGAGCUUGCUCCCUGAUGUUAGCGGCGGACGGGUGAGUAACACGUGGGUAACCUGCCUGUAAAACUGGGAUAACUCCGGGAAACCGGGGCUAAUACCGGAUGGUUGUUUGAACCGCAUGGUUCAAACAUAAAAGGUGGCUUUCGGCUACCACUUACAAAUGGACCCGCGGCGCAUUACCUAUUUGGUGAGGUAACGGCUCACCAAGGCAACAAUGCGUACCCAACCUGAAAGGGUGAUCGGCCACACUGGGACUGAAACACGGCCCAAACUCCAACGGGAGGCAGCAGUAGGGAAUCUUCCGCAAUGGACAAAAGUCUGACGGAACAACGCCGCGUGAGUGAUGAAGGUUUUCGGAUCGUAAAAGUCUGUUGUUAGGGAAAAACAAGUA